rnacentral:rRNA from 1 species
GUCGAGCGAGAAGAGCUCUUCGGGGCUUGAGUAAAGCGGCGCACGGGUGCGUAACACGUAGGCAAUCUUCCCCUCGGAGGGGGACAACGUCUCGAAAGGGACGCUAAUACCGCGUAAGACCACAGCCUCUUCGGAGGCAGAGGUCAAAGGUGGGGACCGCUUCGGCGGCCUACCGCCGGGGGAUGAGCCUGCGGCCCAUCAGCUAGUUGGUAGGGUAAUGGCCUACCAAGGCAAAGACGGGUAGCUGGUCUGAGAGGAUGAUCAGCCACACUGGUACUGAAACACGGACCAGACUCCUACGGGAGGCAGCAGUGGGGAAUCUUGGUCAAUGGGCGCAAGCCUGAACCAGCGACGCCGCGUGAGUGAUGAAGGCCUUCAGGUUGUAAAGCUCUGUGGGGAGAGACGAAAAAGCCAGGGUCGAAUAGGCCCUUGUCUUGACGGUACCUCCUUAGCAAGCACCGGCUAACUCUGUGCCAGCAGCCGCGGUAAGACAGAGGGUGCAAACGUUGCUUGGAAUUACUGGGCGUAAAGCGCGUGUAGGCCGAUCGGUAAGUCAGAUGUGAAAUCGCCGGGCUCACGCGGGAACUGCAUUCGAAACUGCCAAUCUCUAGUGUCGGAGAGGGAAGCGGAAUUCCUGGUGCAUAGGUGAAGUUCGUAGAUAUCACGAGGAACAACUGUGGCGAAAGCUGCUUCCUGGACGACAACUGACGCUCAGACGCGAUGCGUGGGGAGCAACAGGAUAGAUACCUGGUAGUCCACCCGUAACGAUGAGAAUACGUGUCGCGGCAUUGAUCCCCCGGUGCCUAGCUAAUCAUUAGUGCCCGCCUGGGAAUACCGUCCCAGACUAAACUCAAGGAUUGACGGGG